rnacentral:misc_RNA from 1 species
CAUCGCAUACUUGGACGAUC